rnacentral:misc_RNA from 1 species
AAGGAGCACAUGGCCGCUUGCAGGCGAAUGUUCUGCACGGUUGCUCAUGGGUGGAACGUUGACUAUUCGGCACAGGAAGAGACCAGGGGCUAGUACUGCUUCGGCGUGGGACGCGUUCUGGGAUUGACUGUGUCGGGCACGUUGUUGGGUCCUGAGGGAACGGAAGUUGCCUCAAGGAUGCCGGCCUCACUUGAGGUAGCCUGGGUUCGGGUUGCCGAGGGUGUGUGACUGGUCGUUG